GAUCAGCACAGUGGUGCAGGUGACACAGGGCAGUUGUCACAUCGGAACUCUGCACCCGGAAGACUUGCAAAGGUGAUUUCCCUUUC
ncrna:unclassified sequences HTH-XRE RNA